rnacentral:rRNA from 1 species
CCUACGGGUGGCUGCAGUGAGGAAUAUUGGACAAUGGAUGGAAAUCUGAUCCAGCCAUGCCGCGUGCAGGAAGACUGCCCUAUGGGUUGUAAACUGCUUUUGUAUGGGAGCAAUAAGCCCUUCGUGAAGGGUGAUGCGAGUACCAUACGAAUAAGCAUCGGCUAACUCCGUGCCAGCAGCCGCGGUAAUACGGAGGAUGCAAGAGUUAUCCGGAGUAAUUGGGUUUAAGGGGUGCGUAUAAGGUUGCGUAGAAAGUUUUCUGCUUAACAGGAAAAAUGCCGUUGAUACUGUCUGGCUAGAAUAUGGUUGCUGUGAGUGGAAUGUGUGGUGUAGCGGUGAAAUGCUUAGAUAUCACACAGAAUAUCGAUUGCGAAGGCAGCUCACAAAGCCAUUAUUGACGCUGAGGCACGAAAGUGUGGGGAUCAAACAGGAUUAGAUACCCUUGUAGUC